rnacentral:rRNA from 1 species
AUGAAUGGCCAAGUGUGUUUCAGGCAGCGCGACAACAAUUCUUCUUCCUCAAAGCAUAUAUUUUCUCCAAGCGAUCAACAAAGUGAUUGGUCCAUUUGGAAGGGCAGGGUCGGAUGGGCGCGCGUGGCGGAGGUCGGGUGCGGGGCGUCGCCGUCGCCGUCGAUGACGCAGUUCGGGAUCGCCGCGCGCUUCAACGCCACGUCGUCGGCCGUCUCGGAAGCCGCCGCCGCCAACGCUGCGUCGGGCGUCGUCCACACGGUGCCGCAGACCGAGCCUGUUGUGUCCGCCGAGUGGCUGCACGCCAACCUGAGGGACCCCAAUGUGAGGGUACUUGAUGCCUCUUGGUCAGAAGAUGAUGGCGAGUUCCUCAUUCCAAUUGAGUUUAUAUUGUGUAGGUUUCUUCGUCAUGAUCUGGAUUGCCACAGUCAUGUUCAAGUCCAAUGA